rnacentral:rRNA from 1 species
GACAGAGGCCUCAAGCGUUAGGCGGAAUCACUGGGCUUAAAGCGUGUGUAGGCGGAUCGUUAAGUGUCUUGUGAAAUCCCACGGCUCACCCGUGGAACUGCUGGGCAUACUGGCGAUCUUGGGCCAACUAGGGGCAACUGGAACAAGCGGUGGAGCGGUGAAAUGCGUAGAUAUCGCUUGGAACGCCGAAGGUGAAAACAGGUUGCUGGGGUUGUGCCGACGAUGAGACACGAAAGCCAGGGGAGCAAACGGG